rnacentral:rRNA from 1 species
UACGUAGGGUGCAAGCGUUAAUCGGAAUUACUGGGCGUAAAGCGUGCGCAGGCGGUUUUGUAAGACUGUCGUGAAAUCCCCGGGCUUAACCUGGGAAUGGCGAUGGUGACUGCAAGGCUAGAGUUUGGCAGAGGGGGGUAGAAUUCCACGUGUAGCAGUGAAAUGCGUAGAGAUCCGGAAGAACACCGGUGGCGAAGGCGGCCCGCUGGGCAGUGACUGACGCUGAGGCGCGACAGCGUGGGGAGCAAACAGG